rnacentral:rRNA from 1 species
GACGAACGCUGGCGGCGUGCUUAACACAUGCAAGUCGAACGGAAAGGCCCUGCUUUUGUGGGGUGCUCGAGUGGCGAACGGGUGAGUAACACGUGAGUAACCUGCCCUUGACUUUGGGAUAACUUCAGGAAACUGGGGCUAAUACCGGAUAGGAGCUCCUGCUGCAUGGUGGGGGUUGGAAAGUUUCGGCGGUUGGGGAUGGACUCGCGGCUUAUCAGCUUGUUGGUGGGGUAGUGGCUUACCAAGGCUUUGACGGGUAGCCGGCCUGGGGGGGUGACCGGCCACAUUGGGACUGGGAACCGGCCCAGACUCCUACGGGAGGCAACGGUGGGGAAUAUUGCACAAUGGGCGGAAGCCGGAUGCAGCAACGCCGCGUGCGGGAUGACGGCCUUCGGGUUGUAAACCGCUUUCGCCUGUGACGAAGCGUGAGUAACGGUAAUGGGAAAAGAAGCACCGGCUAACUACGU